AGAAGAGUGCCUGAAAAAUAGGAUUAUCAUGAUAGGGUAAACCAUGUGUGCGAACCACCUCUUCUU
rnacentral:tRNA from 1 species